UAUUGCACAAAAGUACCCGAUGACGACGUUGUGGCUAAUGUUAAUUGCUACAUGAUGACCUGUUGUAGCUAAUGAUAAAACUGCAAUUGAAUCGUAAAGGAAAAAAAAGUUCAGAUUAGUAUAGCGAAAGUCCAUAUAACCUUUUAAACUAUUUUUUUCUUUAUCCCUGCACUAUGAUAUUUGGUUAGCAAAUUUGUCUUUUUUUUCCCUCCCUACACAAGUUGUAGUUGAAUUUUAAUUUGAGAUUUUUUAGGGUGGCAGUGGACAUCAAAAUCUAUUUUGAAAAAUAUAUUGUGAAUUUUUCAACAUUAAAUUUCAUAUAUUUUGUAUCUCAAUGAUGACAAAAAAUAUUCAAUCCUAUCGUAUCAAAAUAAUGACAAAAAAGUUCAUGAUAUAUUUUGCUAGCAUGUCUUAUGAUGUAGAAAUAGAAACCAAUUCAUCUACAAUGUCAAAACAGCGAAGAAAUAGAAAAUGAAACAAUUCCAUCUUUUUUUUAGCAUUUUCUCUGUGAAUUAUCAAAUUCCAUAGCUCACAAACUUUCGGAUUUGGUGACUAGCAGUCCACCAGGGGUUACCCAAGUGGUAGAUUUAUAGGCGGGGGAGAUUGUGAGACCAAGAACUCGAAUGGUAACAUGUUUAGACAGGUUCGGACCUCCGAAGAGUAAUAUCUUACGUUCUGUGUUUGGUGGAUUGUAUUGUUGGUACGGUAUGCGGAGAGUUGAGAUGCCCUCGGGAGGCAUCCCUGGUUGCCUUAUAUAGGCUGACGACUUAGGGUUGCAAUCGGAUAGGAUUUAAUCCUAUUUAAUACAUGGAAAGCAAUCUGAAUCGGUUUACAACAAAUAUCCCAUAAUAUCCGGGCAGAAUCCAUUCGCCCAACCUCCAGACUCGUGCUCAAUGUAUCUUCAUGCCUUGACCUGCACGCCAUGAUCGGAC
rnacentral:lncRNA from 1 species